CCACUGCUGCCAUCGGAUUGUUCCUGUCCCUGUCCUCAGGCCCUGGCAACUUUCCAUGACGUACUGAGCUCCAAGCCCUCCCCACCAACCCCCGCCCACACGCCAUGCUUCCAAGGGGGAGGGAGGUGGGGUCAGUGAUGCCCCCGGCCUGGGCACCGAGCCCCGUGGGUGAUGACAGGUGGUACAGAAACCAGGGCGCUGAUAAGAUGGAAGGAAUGUGCCGAGAUCACAGCCAGGCCCGGCCGAGGGUGGUGUGAGAAGCAGGGUUCCCCCACCCCCCCGAAUGUAGGGAGAAGCAGGACCUGGAAGAGUGGCUCACCCUCAGGGGGCUGGCAUGAAGAAGACAAAGAAGAGUUUGCCCUGAGAAGAGAAGCCUUGGGGGUGGGGGAUAUAAUGUCCCCAAAUGUCACGUGGAAGGAGGGGGUUGCCUUAUUCAGGGGGUGACUCAGAGGACAGAAUCAGGACAGAAGGGCAGAGGUGUCACGAAGUGAAAUCUCAACUCUGGCAGCCAGAGAGACGGCUUGGUGAGGUCCGCGGAGCCCAGCAUCUGGGCCUCCGCCUCGUCGGUGGGCACCUGCUGCUCCGGGCCACCUGGGCUGCCCAGGGCACUGCCGGGGCACAGCCGCUCCCGCAGGUCGUAGCUGGCCGACGGGCUCCAGGGCCGGCUCUUCUCUCCAGCGACUCGGGGGACCCGCGCCCGGGGGCUCGAGGAGCUGAGGAGGCACCAUGGCAGCCUUGGACUUGAUGGGGAACCACGGCGGAGACGGGCCAGGACAGUCUCCGGGGACCCCGGGGAGCCUGGGGCCUGCUGCGGCUGGAGGCCAGUACCUGACUGCCGGUGGGGCGCUCUUGUCAGAGCCAGGGCCCCCCGAGGCCGGGGGCUUGGCGCAGGCGGCCCUCCCGGAGAGGCCAGGACUGUCCUCCUCAUCGCUGCCGAUGGAGAACUGGGGACAGAUGCAGGUGCCCUGGGUCCCUGGGCCGCCCCAGCCCCCGCACCCCCAGGCAGCCCGGACCCCUCUGCUGCGUCCUCUCUGCACCCCCCAGAAGCCAGUCCCCUUUCAAGGACACACCCCUACCUUUGCUUUCUGGGGAGACCCUGAGGGCGGGGGCUCCGCGGGCUCUGCCUCAGAUUCCCCUUCCUCUUCCUCCUCAUCGUCCUCCUCCUCCUCCUCCACUCCGGCUCCCCCCUCCUCCUGGAUGGGAGGGGUCCCCUCGGAGGGGGGAGCCGAGGUUCUCUCCUUCUUCCUCUUCCUUCUGGUCUGCCGGGCAGAGGUGGGGGGCAGUCGCCGCAGCUUGUGGGGCGGAGGCAGGCGCGCCGAGAGCGGGUGGUGGGUGUGGUGGGAUGUGUGCCGGUGAACUGGGGGUGCAGGAGAGCCGGUUGGGGUCCCCACAGCACAAGGGGGCCCCCCACCACCCUGGGGGUACACGCCUUAUUCUAGCUCAGGGCCUCACACAAGGUCACCCUAGUCCUUCCUGGAGGACCAGGCUCCCCCUGACACCUGUGUCCACGUCCAGCCACUGGUAAGGCCUGGCAGAGGGGGGACCGGGAGUCCGGAGUCGUGAACGGGGCCUGGGGGGUGUGGGAGGCCACGACACGGCAAGGGCGGGGGGAGGUACGGGGAAGAGGUGAUGGAGGUGAGGGGGCAGGGACAAGAGAGCGGCCGAGCUAGGGCACAGCCAUGGUGGGGAAGAUGAAGGUCACCGAGGUGGGCCUCGGGUCCUCUGCCUACGUCUCCCCUGUGUCUGGGGCCCGGCUCCCCUGGAGGGCGGACAGGCGAUGGGUGGAGCUGGAGGAGAUGCUGACGGCCACCAGCUGCUUCACGCCAGCUCAUCCCCUCGGACGUCAGCGCCCGCUUUCAGCGUUACCACUCGGAGAGCCUGGCCUCCGGGAGGUCUUUCCAGUUGUGUUCUCCUGCACCUGUAAUCAUCAGGCCCCCGUACAGUGCUCCCAGUGGGGUCUUUAUUUCCAUGACAAGAGACCUGCUCGCCUACACAAAGGAUGGCUGCCACGUGUGUAGGAGAAUGGGACAGGAAAGGUGACAACAGAGGUAGAAGCCCGGAGUGCCCCCCUCGCACCCUCCUCCUCAGCCCAGCCUGGCGUGAGCACCCCCACCCUGCAUGCUGAGGCCCAGGACGCUGGCCCGACACAUACAGCACCAGCAAGGUCUGUCCCGUAGGUCCAAGAGCCCAGGAGCCAUCCCACCACACUACCCCCAUGUGGAGACACAAGCCUAUCAUCCUCUGGGGUCCUCGCAAAUGCGCCAGGAGCCCUGUGGGGGUGGGCUCCUCUCGCAGCCGUUCCCCGGAAUCGCUGUCUUGGGAUCAAGCAUGUGGGGGACGAGACUGAUGGAGAGGAUGUCUCUCAUCUGCGGCCGCCCAAACGUUGGCCAACCCUCUACACCUUGGUCACGUCCCAUGAGUACCAUCUCUCCAAGGUCGAAGCCCCGUGCCCCUCGCGGGACUCCCUUGAGGUGAGGGUACAGACACCACUUGGUUCCAUCAAGCUGACUCGCCUGCCCAAGAGCUGAAGUCGGAAGUGAGCAAUGUGCACCUGUGCGAGCCCGGGAGUGGGGGCGUGCGGGUCCUCUGAGGCGGCGGCGGUGCUUCUGCGGGCGCGGCUCUCGGGACCGGCUGGUCCUCAGUCCUAGCUCUCGGCUCCUCCCCGAAAUACCACCUGGUACUCACUAUUUCCUUCUAUCAGUUCCUUUCCAGCUUAGAGUAGCUGUUGCUGGCAGCUCAGCAUCCUGAUCGAUGGAGUCGGGGAGACGCCCUGGGUCCAGGCCCUGGGCCAGGCGGGCGGCAAGUAUGAGUGGUACCACUACCAGGGCACCGGCAGCAAGCCCGUGGGGGCAUGGCCAGCCUAUUAGCAGGCCUGGGCCGUCCCUGCCCCUCUUACUACGUCACUCCUCGCCAACUCCUCGAUCUUUUUUCCUUUAUUUAUUCUGGGUGCCUGACUGACUCAGAAGAGCAUGCGACUCCUGAUCUCGGGGGUUGUGAGUUCGAGCUCCACCCACACUGGGUGUAGAGAUUACUGAAAUAAACUUUUUUCU